GGGAUCUCGACCUUUGAUUGGAGAGGUUUGCUACACAAUAGAUGGAGAGGAUUGAAUCUGAUUCAGAGAUUUUUAACAAAUGAAGGUAAGGAAAGUGGCUGCAGGUUUGUUGAAAGAUCUUGAACCGGUUCGGAACUGAUGUGGGUCUUGAAGGCUGGUGCAGUAGGUUUUUUCAAGUGCAGAGAGCUUAAAGUUAAUGCAGGAUGGACAUGGCUAUGGAUAGACUUUGCACUGCAAGUGGCAGGUAGCCGUUUUUUGGGACUAUGCUAAUGGUGCAACAUGAAAUUAUGAUGGGAACAAUAAGCUUUAGUAAGUAGGAAUCUAAUAUACUUUUGUAUAACUUUUCUCCUUUGCAUUUGCACUUGGAAUUUGUUAUGGAUUUGGAUUUUUGUAAUGAAAUUUGUAAUGGAAUUUGCACUUGGAAUUUGUAGUGGAUUUAGAUUUUUGUAAUGGAGUUUGCACUUGGAA